CUUACAGAGGAAGUAGGCACAGCAGUGAGCAGUGCUAUACGCUGCAACGAUGCUGAUAGCGAAGCUUCAUCAGCGGAUUAUGGCCAUGAAGCAGAGGACCGAAGUGAAAUGACCUCGGCAUCUGCACCACCGCGUUGUUCAACUGAAAGGCUACCCUCCAUUGUUAAUGACGGCUCCCCUCUGUGCUGUGAGGAAGAGAAUAGAGCCACUAGAGAUGCUGCCCUUAUUCGACACGAAGG
rnacentral:lncRNA from 1 species